UACGUAGGUGGCGAGCGUUGUCCGGAUUUACUGGGCGUAAAGGGAGCGUAGGCGGACUUUUAAGUGAGAUGUGAAAUACUCGGGCUCAACUUGAGUGCUGCAUUUCAAACUGGAAGUCUAGAGUGCAGGAGAGGAGAAUGGAAUUCCUAGUGUAGCGGUGAAAUGCGUAGAGAUUAGGAAGAACACCAGUGGCGAAGUCGAUUCUCUGGACUGUAACUGACGCUGAGGCUCGAAAGCGUGGGGAGCAAACAGG
rnacentral:rRNA from 1 species